GCCUGGGUGGCUCAGUCGGUUUAGUGUCUGACUUCGGCUCAGGUCAUGAUCUCGUGUUCAUGGGUUUGAACCCCGUUUCAGGCC
rnacentral:tRNA from 1 species